CAUGAUAGAUAAAUUAAAAGGGCGCACGAAACUUUGUCAGGUCGGUACAUUUCGCCGUCUUUAUAAUCAACAUAAUACUUGCGACCACUUUGGUCAGUCUGUUGAGUCCAAGAGUUCUAUUGUGAAGCACAACGUUAACAAACAAGUUUGGUUUUCCAGAAAGCCGUCCAGAAAGCAUUUCAACCCAACGUUCACAAACUCUUAGCGGUUCUGACGUGCAAAUCGAUCGUCAGAAAUGGGCAUAGGGGCGAAAGACUAAUCGAACCAUCUAGUAGCUGGUUCCACUUGAAGUUUCCCUUAGGAUAGCUGAUCAUAAUUAAAAGAGUUUAAUCCGGUAAAGCGAAUGAUUAGACGGAUUAGAGACAUAAUGUUUUUAACUUAUUCUCAAACUUUAAAUGGGUUAGAUGUCUAUGUUGCUAACUUGAACAUAGCACGCAAGAAUCAUUUGAUCAAGUGGGCCAUUUUUGGUAAGCAGAACUGGCGCUGUGGGAUGAACCAAAAGCUAGUUUAAAGUAUCAAAGUAAUAGCAAAUCAGAUUCCACGAAAGGUGUUAAUUGCUCACGACAGCAGGACGGUGGCCAUGGAAGUCGGAAUCCGCUAAGGAAUGUGUAACAACCCACCUGCCGAAGCAAUUAGCCCUGAAAAUGGAUGACGCUAUAGCUAUUCCAGAACUUAAAACUAGCUUCUAGGCUAAAUUAUCUAGCCUAUAAAGUAAAGUGGUGAUUUAACCGCAGCCAAAGAAAGAUGAGAAUCUUUCACAAGCGGUUAAGUGUACAGAUCUUGGUGGCAGUAGCAAAUAUUCCAAUGGGGUCUUGGAAGGCCGAAGUGGAGAAGGUUUUCGUGUGAACAGUUUUUGACCACGAGUGAGGCGGUCCUAAAUAAGAAAGGAAACUUAUUACAAUUUUAUGAAAGGGAAAUAGGUUUAAAUUCCUAUUCCAUAAGCGCUAGAAUUUACUCUGUAAACCUGGUAACAGGGAUUUUCAUUCGGACACAAAGCUAAACUUUAAAGAGAAUUUUCUCUUCUGAUUAAGCUAUGUAAUCCUUUAAAUAGCAUUGAGCUGAGACAAGGAUCAGCAAUAGCGCAGAGCAACACAGAUCUUGCGUUGUUUAAAGCUUUAGCCUUGUCCUUGAAAACGAAUGAAAAAUGGUUAUCUAGCCUAUGGCCGUACCCAUAUCCGCAGCAGGUCUCCAAGGUGAAAAACCUCUGGCUAAUAGAAUAAUGUAGGUAAGGGAAGUCGGCAAAUAAGCUCUGUAACUUUGGGAGAAGGAAUGGCUCUGAAAGUUGAAGUAUUUGGGCUUAAUAAUGGAAGCCGCUAUAGCAAAAGUUUGUUGAAAGCAUUCGCCUGAAAUGAACCAAGCUCUGGCUGUGAAAAUUAUUUAGCUUUAUGGUUGGAUUAUAUCUAGCCAUUCAAAUCACUGCUUAUCAACUCAUUCAGAACUGGCACAGAUUAGGGGAACCCGACUGUUUAAUUAAAACAAAGCAUUGAGAAAGUCUGAAAAGAUAUUGACUCAAUGUGAUUUCUGCCCAGUGCUCAGAAUGUCAAUUUGAAGAGGUUCAAAUAAGCGCGGGUAAACGGCGGGAGUAACUAUGACUCUCUUAAGGUAGCCAAAUGCCUCGUCAUCUAAUUAGUGACGCGCAUGAAUGGAUUAACGAGAUUCCCACUGUCCCUAUCUACUAUCUAGCGAAACC
rnacentral:rRNA from 1 species